AUGGAAUCACAGAACCAUGUCCUCAUGUUCUUGCUGCUUUGGGUAUCUGAUACCUGUGGGGACAUUGUGAUGACCCAGUCUCCAUCCUCCCUGGCUGUGACAGCAGGAGAGAAGGUCACUAUGAGCUGCAAGUCCAGUCAGAGUCUUUUGUGGAGUGUAAACCAAAAGAACUACUUGUCCUGGUACCAGCAGAAACAAAGGCAGCCUCCUAAACUGCUUAUCUAUGGGGCAUCCAUUAGAGAAUCUUGGGUCCCUGAUCGGUUCACAGGAAGUGGAUCUGGGACAGACUUCACUCUCACCAUUAGCAAUGUGCAUGCUGAAGACCUAGCAGUUUAUUACUGUCAACACAAUCAUGGCAGCUUUCUCCCCCC